CCGCCCGCGCCUGCUCUGCGCCUUUCCCGUCCCGGGGUCCCCUUUCUCUCCGUCCUUCUGCCGCCGGGAUCCUGUCCUGCGUCUCUCCAAGUUUCCGUGUGCGUGUGUUUCGUCAGAAUCAGGCUUCAGUUGCAGUCGCCUCUUUUCUUUUCUCUUUCUUCUUUCUUUCUGUCUUUUUUUUUUUUUUUUUUUUUGAGACACAGUUUCCCUCUGUCGCCCGGGCUGGAGUGCAGUGGCGCGAUCUCGGCUCACUGCAACAACCUCCACCUCCCGGGAUCAAGCGAUUCUCGUGCCUCAGCCUCCCUAGUAGCUGGAAUUACAGGCGCCACCAAGCCCAGCUAAUUUUUUUUCUUUUUUCUUUUUUAGUUGAGAAGGGGUUUCACCAUGUUGGCCAGGCAGGUCUGGUACUCCCGACCUCAAGUGAUCUGCCCUCCUUGGCCUCCCGAAUUGCUGGGGUUACAAGCGUGAGCCACGGCGCCCGGCCUGGAGUCGCCCUGUUUGCACCUUUGUCUCUCACUCUCUUGUGUGUCUGUGUCCGGCUGUCCCCUCUGGGUCUCUGUCUCUUUUGGGAUGUAUCUCUGAGUAUCUCUAUGGGUCAUUUAUUUCUGAGAUUCGUCGUUCUGGGGGCCUCUGUAUGGGUCCCUCUGCCAGCCUCUACGUCUCGGUCUCCGCCUUUAUUUUGACUCUUGGUCUGUCUCCGUUUAUCUCUUGUCUCUCUUGGUCUCUUUGUCUCUCCUCUCUAGGUCUCUUUUUGCUCAUUAUCUCUUAGCCCUCCAUGUCUCUGUCUCAGGGUUCCUCGGCCGCUCCCCUUUGGGUCUCCCCUUGGGGUCUCUAGAGGACUUAGGGUCUCCGGAGUCAUAUCUCUUGAUCUCUCCCUGACCAUCACUCCAUGUGGGUGCUGCCACAGUCCCGGUGGCUGUCCCAUCCUAGGGUCACUCUGGCAGCUGCAAACCACUGAGCAUGUGCACACACGCCCCAUUCUCUCCCCAGAGUUCGCUCCAGAGUCUCCACCUGGAUUCUUCGCAAGACUUUCUGAGACCUAGCAGGACCUGAGCUGCGGCUAUGACUCUGGCAAAAGGAGUCUGGUCUUGCCGGAACGGGCGGGGGUUGGGGGUGUGGGCCGGGGAGAUGCCACAGGGUCAUUUUCAGGAACUGAAGGGCGCAGAGACAAGACGGUGGCCUUCUAGCCACUGGUGUCCGGUGACACUGCAUAAAAAUAGCUCCAUCAGAUGGGCUUGGGGGAAGUGGAGGGGUUUGAUCACUGAGACUCCCAGGAAAGAAGUCCUGGUCGCCCUCUGCUGGGGGUGUGGAGAGAGGUAGGUACUAAGGGUUCGAACGCCCUGCUAAUCCUGGCACUCUUUCUCUUCCUGUCUUCCUUCCUUCCAUUCCUUCUCUCUUCUUUUCUUCUUUCUUUCUUUCUUUUUUUUUUUUUCUUGAGAGGAGUUUCCCUCUUGUUGUCCAGGCUAGAGUGUGGGGACGUGAUCUCAGCUCACUGCAACCUCCGCCUGCCAGUUUCAAGCGAUUCUCCUGCCUCAGUCUCCUGAGUAGCUGGGACUCCAGGCACCCGUCACCACACCCACCUAAUUUUUGUAUUUUUAGUAGAGACAGGGUUUCACCAUGUUGGCCAGGCUGGUCUCGAACUCCUGACCUCGUGACCGCCUGCCUUGGCCUCCCAAAGUUCUGGGAUUACAGACGUGAGCCACUGCACCCGGCCUUUUCUUUCUUUUUCUUUUUCUUGAGACGGAGUCUUGCAGUCGCCCAGGCUAGAGUGCAGUGUUGCGAUCUUGGCUCACUGCAACCUCCGCCUCCUGAAUUCAAGCAAUUCUCCUGCCUUAGCCUCUGGAGUAGCUGGGAUUACAGGCGCCCACCACACGCGGCUAAUUGUUUGUGGGCGGCAAGCCACCCAGGUGCCGAGGCAAGAGACCGAGGGCACGAGCUGUUCCAGUAUAAUAAAAUAUAUAAAAUAAGAAUAGUUAUAGUAGAUAUAGAUCAUAGAUAUGAUUAUAUAUGAAUAUCAUUAAUCAUUAGUUUGUAGCAAUUACUCUUUAUUCCAAUAUUAUAAUAAUCCUCGCUCUACAAUCAUAACCUAGGAAAAACCAGGCCAUACAGAGAUAGGAGCUGAGGGGACAUAGCGAGAAGUGACCAGAAGACAAGAGUGCGAGCCUUCUGUUAUGCCUGGACAGGGCCACCAGAGGGCUCCUUGGUCUAGCGGUAACACCAGCGUCUGGGAACACGCCCGUUGCCAAGUGGACCAUGGUCUAGUGGUAGCCUCAGUGCCAAGGAAAACCACCCGCUACUUAGCAGACCAGGAAAGGGAGUCUCUCUUUCCCUGGGGGAGUUUAGAGAAGACUCUACCCCUCCACCUCUUGUGGAGGGCCUGACAUCAGUCAGGCUCACCCGCAGUUACCCAGAGGCCUAACCAUCUCCCUGUGAUGCUGUGCUUCAGCUCCUAGUCCGCUUUCAUGUUCCAUCCUGUACACCUGGCUCUGCCUUCUAGAUAGCAGUAGCAAAUUAGUGAAAGUACUAAAAGUCUCUGAUAUGCAGAAAUAAUGGCGUAAGCUGUCUCUCUUUCUCCUCUCUCUCUGCCUCGGCUGCCAGGCAGGGAAGGGCUCCCUGUCCAGUGGAUACGUGACCCAGGGGACCUUACCUAUCCUUGGAGAUGUCUCACACUCCUCACCCUGCCUCUUUGUCUUAUAUCCAAUAAAUAUCAGCACAGCCAGGCAUUCGGGGCCACUACCGGUCUCUGUGUCUUGGUGGUGGUGGUUCCCCGGGCCCAGCUGUCUUUUCUUUUAUCUCUUUGUCUUGUGUCUUUAUUUCCACAAUCUCUCGUCUCUGCAAACGGAGAAAAACCCACCGACCCUGUGGGGCUGGACCCUACAAUUGUUGUAUUUUUAGUAGAGACAAGGUUUUGCCAUGUUGGCCAGGCUGGUCUUGAACUCCUGACUUCAGGUGAUCUGCCCGCCUCGGCCUCCCAAAGUGCUGGGAUUACAGGCAUGAGCCACCUCACCCGGCCCUUUUCUUUUCUUUCUUUCUCUCUCUCUUUCUUUCUUUCUUUAUUUUUUGAGACAGGGUCUCAGUCUGUUGCCCAGGCUGGAGUCUAGUGGCACAAUCUUGGCUCACUGCAGCCUCGACUUUCUGGGCUCAAACGAUCCUCCCACUUCUUUUUUUUUUUUUUUUUUUUGAGACGGAGUUUCGCUCUUGUCACCCAGGCUGGAGUGCAAUGGUGCAAUCUCGGUUUACCACAGCCUCCGCCUCCCAGGUUCAAGUGAUUCUCCUGCCUCAGCCUCUCAAGUAGCUGGGAUUGCAGGCAUGUGUCACCAUGCCCAGCUAAUUUUGUAUUUUUAGUAGAGACUAAAAUACAUGUUCUCCAUGUUGAUCAGUCUGGUCUCGAACUCCUGACCUCAGGUGAUACGCCCACCUUGGCCUCCCAAAGUGCUGAGAUUACAGGCAUGAGCCACCCCACCUGGCCCCUCCCACCUCUUCUAAGUAACUGGGACUAUAGGCGUGAGCCACCAUGCAUGGCUAUUUUUUGUAAUUUUUGUAGAGACAGGGUCUUGCUAUGUUGCCCACGCUGCUCUUCUACUCCUGAGCCCAAGCAAUCCACCGUACUAGGCCUCUCCAAGUGCUAGGAUUACAGGUGUAAGCCACUGCACCCACCCUGUCUGGGAUUCUAUGUCCCCUGGACUUCUAUGUCCCUCUCUCUAGGUCUCUAUCUUCCCUCUGUCUGGGUCUGUGUCCAUUUAUUUCACGGUCUUUGGCCUUCUCUAUCUCUCUCUGUCCACCAUCUUUCUGGUCUCUGUCUCCUAUUUUCUCCCAUUCUCGUUUUUUUUUUUUUUUUU
rnacentral:lncRNA from 10 species